UACGAAGGGUCCAAGCGUUAUCCGGAUUUAUUGGGUUUAAAGGGUGCGUAGGCGGCUUAUUAAGUCAGUGGUGAAAGACUUCAGCUUAACUGAAGAAUUGCCAUUGAUACUGAUGAGCUUGAGUACAGUUGAGGUGGGCGGAAUGUGUCAUGUAGCGGUGAAAUGCUUAGAUAUGACACAGAACACCGAUUGCGAAGGCAGCUCGCUAAACUGUAACUGACGCUGAGGCACGAAAGCGUGGGGAGCAAACAGG
rnacentral:rRNA from 1 species